rnacentral:rRNA from 1 species
GAUGAACGCUGGCGGCGUGCCUAAUACAUGCAAGUCGAGCGAACGGACGAGAAUCUUGCUUCUCUGAUGUUAGCGGCGGACGGGUGAGUAACACGUGGAUAACCUACCUAUAAGACUGGGAUAACUUCGGGAAACCGGAGCUAAUACCGGAUAAUAUUUUGAACCGCAUGGUUCAAAAGUGAAAGACGGUCUUGCUGUCACUUAUAGAUGGAUCCGCGCUGCAUUAGCUAGUUGGUAAGGUAACGGCUUACCAAGGCAACGAUGCAUAGCCGACCUGAGAGGGUGAUCGGCCACACUGGAACUGAGACACGGUCCAGACUCCUACGGGAGGCAGCAGUAGGGAAUCUUCCGCAAUGGGCGAAAGCCUGACGGGGCAACGCCGCGUGAGUGAUGAAGGUCUUCGGAUCGUAAAACUCUGUUAUUAGGGAAGAACAUAUGUGUAAGUAACUGUGCACAUCUUGACGGUACCUAAUCAGAAAGCCACGGCUAACUACGUG